CCUACGGGGGGCUGCAGUGAGGAAUAUUGGACAAUGGGGGGAACCCUGAUCCAGCCAUGCCGCGUGUGUGAAGAAGGCCCUCGGGUUGUAAAGCACUUUCAGUGAGGAAGAACGCCUGGUGGUUAAUACCCAUCAGGAAAGACAUCACUCACAGAAGAAGCACCGGCUAACUCCGUGCCAGCAGCCGCGGUAAUACGGAGGGUGCGAGCGUUAAUCGGAAUUACUGGGCGUAAAGCGCGCGUAGGUGGCUUGAUAAGCCGGUUGUGAAAGCCCCGGGCUCAACCUGGGAACGGCAUCCGGAACUGUCAAGCUAGAGUGCAGGAGAGGAAGGUAGAAUUCCCGGUGUAGCGGUGAAAUGCGUAGAGAUCGGGAGGAAUACCAGUGGCGAAGGCGGCCUUCUGGACUGACACUGACACUGAGGUGCGAAAGCGUGGGUAGCAAACAGGAUUAGAUACCCUGGUAGUC
rnacentral:rRNA from 1 species